rnacentral:rRNA from 1 species
ACUGGGAUAACUCCGGGAAACCGGAGCUAAUACCGGAUAGUUCCUUGAACCGCAUGGUUCAAGGAUGAAAGACGGUUUCGGCUGUCACUUACAGAUGGACCCGCGGCGCAUUAGCUAGUUGGUGGGGUAAUGGCUCACCAAGGCGACGAUGCGUAGCCGACCUGAGAGGGUGAUCGGCCACACUGGGACUGAGACACGGCCCAGACUCCUACGGGAGGCAGCAGUAGGGAAUCUUCCGCAAUGGACGAAAGUCUGACGGAGCAACGCCGCGUGAGUGAUGAAGGUUUUCGGAUCGUAAAGCUCUGUUGUUAGGGAAGAACAAGUGCGAGAGUAACUGCUCGCACCUUGACGGUACCUAACCAGAAAGCCACGGCUAACUACGUGCCAGCAGCCGCGGUAAUACGUAGGUGGCAAGCGUUGUCCGGAAUUAUUGGGCGUAAAGGGCUCGCAGGCGGUUUCUUAAGUCUGAUGUGAAAGCCCCCGGCUCAACCGGGGAGGGUCAUUGGAAACUGGGAAACUUGAGUGCAGAAGAGGAGAGUGGAAUUCCACGUGUAGCGGUGAAAUGCGUAGAGAUGUGGAGGAACACCAGUGGCGAAGGCGACUCUCUGGUCUGUAACUGACGCUGAGGAGCGAAAGCGUGGGGAGCGAACAGGAUUAGAUACCCUGGUAGUCCACGCCGUAAACGAUGAGUGCUAAGUGUUAGGGGGUUUCCGCCCCUUAGUGCUGCAGCUAACGCAUUAAGCACUCCGCCUGGGGAGUACGGUCGCAAGACUGAAAACUCAAA